rnacentral:lncRNA from 1 species
CAGUAAACGUUCCAGCAGAGUAAAAUGGCCUUGGAUACAUUGGGAGGAAGAUUCUUAUCGGACUCCUUUAUGUUCUGUAGAAAUGACUUACACUUGAGUCGGAUGUAGCAGGUCACAUAAGGCUUCCGUUGCUGAUCUGAUCUGGGCUCUGACCUCUGACCCUCCAAGUCGGCACCUGCAUUCCACACACUGAGAGAGGAGAAGAUGGACUGAAUCAGGAGAAUCAACUAAAACACUGAUUACCAGCCCUACCACGGUGAGGAGAGAGAGUUAGCAUACCACCCUACCACCUGAGAGAGAAGUUAGCAUUACCAGCCCUACCACCGUGUGAGGAGAAGAGUUAGCAUUACCAGCCCUACCACACGUGUGAGGAGAGAGAGGUUAGCAUUACCAGCCCUACCACCGAGAGAAGAGAGUUAGCAUUACCAGCCCUACCACCACAAGAAGAGUUACAUUACCAGCCUACCACGUGAGGAGAGAGAGUUAGCAUUACACAGCCACCACCGUGUGAGGAGAGUAGUUAGCAUUACCAGCCCUACCACCGUGUGAGGAGAGAGAGUUAGCAUUACCAGCCCUACCACCGUGUGAGGAGAGAGAGUUAGCACUACCAGCCCUACCACCGUGUGAGGAGAGAGAGUUAGCACUACCAGCCCUACCACCACGUGUGAGGAGAGAGUUAGCACUACCAGCCCUACCACCCGGUGGGAGAGAGAGUUAGCAUGACCAUCUAACCACCGCGUGAGGAGAGAGAGUAGCAUUACCAGCCCUACCACCGCGUGAGAGAGAGAGUUAGCAUUCCAGCCCUACCACCACAGAGAGAGAGAGUUAGCAUUACCAGCGCCUACCACCACAGGAGAAAGAGAGUUAGCAUUACCAGCCUACCACCACAGAAAAGAGAGUUAGCAUUACCACCCUACCACCACAGAGAAAGAGAGUUAGCAUUACCAGCCCUACCACCACAGAGAAAGAGAGUUAGCAUUACCAGCCCUACCACCACAGAGAAGAGAGUUAGCAUUACCAGCCCUACCACCAAGAGAAAGGAGUUAGCUUACCAGCCCACCACCACAGAGA